CAGUUGGACUGUCUCUGGAAGGUUGCGGGCGAACCAGAAAUGUAGUGACCUCCAGGAAGGAAAAUUGCUACUACUCUUUUCCACAUAUCCUUUGAUCACUUUUAAAUUGUGUUCCAUUUGCAAGUACUACCUACUCAAAUGGAAAGAAUAAAACAUGGUUACCUGGGAAGGAAGAUAAAAAGAGAGUCCUUUUCCAUAUUAGUGCUAAGCACUUCGUACAGUUCGUCCUUAACUGGACAAGAAUUACGGAAUCUCUAUAGGAUGAUGUCAGGAGCUGUGCUGGAUUCUGGAGACUCAGCGUCUACAAAACAGCAUCCCUUGCCUCACAGCGAUCCCAGUUGGGAGAGCAAUUCAGACAGACAGCAAGGCAAUGAACACGCAGUGUCAGAAGCGUGAUGAUGAGAAGUGCAGACACCAGGGAAUUGCAAAGGAGGCUCCUCUGCCCAGACCUGGGGAGAAAAGACCUUUCUGGACCCAGUGAUAUCCAAGCUGAGACCAGGAGUUAGUCGGAGGGGAAGAGAGCUCCAGGCACAGGGAACAGCACAACAUACGCAAAGACUGCAGGAGCCGUAUAAAACUUGACUGCUUCCUUGGAACUGCAAGCAGUCAACAUGUCUGGAGUAUUGAGUUUGGAGAGGGUGUGUGGAAGAAUGAAGCCACAGAGGUAAGCAGCAAGAGACAGGAGUCAGCUCCAGUAAAGCCUGGGAUGGACACAGCACAUCCUUUCCUGACGUUCCUGCUGCUUCCAAGCACCAGCCUUAAGAGCCCAGAGGAAACUGCUAAUGAAUUUCCCUAGAGUUACCCAGAACUAAUUCUGAGGGGUUUCCUGCCACCUCUCAGGUCCGGGACUGUUAAGGGGUACCAGCCAAGAUGUCCAACUCCUCACCAGCAUAUUCUGCCAGACCAGGGCACCCUGCUCUGAUCAUGCUGAGACAUGGGACCCAAGUCCAACACGUUUGGUCAAUGCAUGAUUUCAAAGAAUUGUAACAUCAGCAGCAGAGAAACUGGAGACCCAAAGAAUGGAUUCAAAUGCUUGUUGCCUGAAUCUGCUCUUCUCACAAGUCCCUCAAUAUUGUACCUGAAUAUAAUACCUUCUCCUGCAUCAAGAGAGGACAUUAGGUGGGUCCCAGCUGCCUCUUCAGGGAUUUAACAGGCUAACCAGGAGCUCUCACUUGUCUUUCUACCUGCAAACUACAGAAUGGGUGCAGAUCUUUCCAGGAAGCUUAUAAAAGCUCACAGGGUGAGGCGAAAGUUGGCUUAGUCUCAGAGAUUCAUUGUUGUUGGGAACGUAGAGCCCUGAGCGCUUUAAGUCCUGAAAAUCUUCUAGUUUCUGAUCUUUAGCUCAACUUUUAACUGUUUUCCUCCUGAUUUUUGUUUGGCUUUCUGAUUUGAUUCUCUGGUUUGACAUAUGUGUCUGUCUUAAUUAGGUUUUCCAGCAGGUCAUGGCCCUGUCCCGGGCCCAUGUAAACCAUCAAAGGCUUGCCUCAGUCAUCCCUAUACCAGCUUCUCACCUUGCCCAGUCUUAGGGCCUGGGAUCUAAGAGCCCUCUGGAAGAUCUACCCUUUUUCUACAUCUGAAAACUCACUAUUAGAGAGUUAAAGUCUUCGAAACAUUCCAUGUUUCCCAAGGGUCCACAUGGCAAUUUUGUGAUAUAUUUAUAGGUAGCAAGUGGAACAAAGGGGUUUGUAGCCAAAUAAAUUUGGAGAAUGUUAUGUGAGGUUAGUUUCUUGUCUACAACAAGGCUUAAUAUGCUUUGAACAGGUUAAACAUCCAUACAAUGAACUUAGUCAGCUCACAAUCCAGUACCCAAAACCCUUGGAACCAGAUAUAUUUGGAUUUCAGAAUAUUUCAGGUUUUAAUAAGGUAAAUGGUGAAUAUGCUAUUUAUUCCACUAUUUAUUCCAUUGCACCCAGAAGAGCUGGCAGGCCCUGUAAUCAAGCACAUACUUCUGCAGCAAAACAUAUGCAUCUUCAUACUAAGUAGGCUAAGUAAAAAAUCUGAAAAGCCACAACAUCAUUUUAGGUCAGGUUUUACCCCUAAGUCUUGUUUUGUUUUUUGAGACGGAGUCUUGCUCUGUUGCCCAGGCUGGAGUGCAGUGGUGUGAUCUCGGCUCACUGCAACCUUCACCUCCUGGGUUCAAGCGAUUCUCCUGUUUCAGCCCCCCUAGUGACUGGGAUUAUAGACACACACCACCACACUGGGCUAAUUUUUGUAUUUUUAGUAGACAUGGCAUUUCACUAUGUUGGCCAGGCUGGUCUCAAACUUCUGACCUCAAGUGAUCCAUCCACAUCGGCCUCCCAAAGUACUGGGAUUACAGGCAUGAGCCAUAGCACCCAGCCUGUUAUUUUUUAAAACUUAGUUUUUAGCACUUUUUGGACUUCAACCUGAUGGAUACAGGAUGGGGCCGUGUAGAUGGUGUUCCCAACAUAGAUGAUCUCAGAACUCCCUCUUCCAGGAGCAUCUAGCAGGACAGGUAUUUCAUGGACUCCAAGGAUACCCUCAGCUGUUAGUCUAUAACACAGGAGAGUGAACACAGUCGGUCAUUCUCACUUUAGCCUUAUCCUCUCCCACACCAACUAGAUGAGGUGAGGAUUCUGACAGCCAAACAAGGAGGAGAAGCUGGAGAGCCUGUGCAUGUGUGCAGAUGUGGUUGGGGAGUCAUGGUUCAGCUGUCAGCUUCUGGUGGAAAAGGGAUACCAAAAAGAGCGGCAUAGUGGACAUCCAGGUUAUGGUGGUUUUCUUCUGUGUACACUUCUGUGUUUUUCACAUUUCCUUUAGAAAUGACGAGCUUUUUCUCCCUUAUUGCUGUUUUCUACUGCAGGGAGUUGCUGCUCUUAGUGUUGCAGUGUGGGGAGGUAGGAUGGGGCUGACGCAGAGCCUGAGGGCAAGGCAGGGUUCCUGGGAAGAUGGAUUCCUGUGAUUCUGGCCUUGUGCCUCAGCCAGAGCUGAGGUGGGGUGGGGUGUAUGCCUAAGGCCAGGGUCCCCUGGGGAAGGAGGAGGAUGUUGGAUUUCUGGUGGAUUUCCAGGAAGACUUCCUGCUCUGACAAAAACAACACAAACACAGGAAGAGGCUCUGGGGCCUAAGGAGAGGGGAUAAUGGACCAAGGUGGAGACUUUUGGGGUGGAGGCUGAUACAGAGAGCAGCCCAGGAACAGAGAAGCUGCCUCCUCGCUGUCCAACUGUGUUCCCCAAGCCAGCUGAGAGUCUUUCUCUACUGUGGUGGCAAGUUGGGAACUGGAGGAAGAGGCCCAGUAACUUUGGACUCCCUGGCUUCUUCUCCACUUUUCAUUGAGUAUAAUAUUUCUUGGUGGCCUGGACCAUGAGGAUGGGGGUGGAGAGUAGGCAGUGGACUGCGGGGGGGCAUUUGGCUAAGGCCUCAGAUUAUGUAGGGCCUCAGAUACAGACCUUAAAUGUGUGGGGUCACACACCUGUCAGAGCUACAUUCAGCCUCACUGUGCGGGAUCAGGUGAAGACAUGCAUCCUAAACUUGCUACCAUUACCAGCCCUAUGGUGUGCUGUAAACUCAUUAUCUUCAUAUGGCUUGUGAAUUGCUCUGUUAUGUUGCAUUAUAUAUGUAUAUAUACACAUAUGUGUGUAUGGGACUCUGUGUGUGUGUUUGUUGUAAACCAAAAAUAAAAAUCUAAGGCUACCCCCACCAUCUGAAGAGACUCCCUCCUCUUGGCCAGGCCACUCCAAAGUUAACCUGAACAACUGUUUUCAGGCCAUGAGGGGAAGUGGGGGUUGGACCUGCCUCAUAAUGCCCUCCUGCCUUUUGGAAUUCAGGAAAAGCUGACCAGCAUUAACAACAACAUAGACCUUAAGUCUGAUAAAUAACCUUUACAAUCUAUUCUCUCCUGAAGCCUGCUAUCUGGAGGCUUCAUUUGCAUGAUAAAACUUUGGUCUCCAUAACCUCUUAUCAUAACCUAGAUAUUUCAUUCUAGUGAUAACUCUUUUAACCAUUGCCAAUGAGAAUUUUGUUUGUUUGUUUGAGAUGGAGUCUUGAGUGCAGGCUGGAAUGCAGUGGUGCAAUCUUGGCUCACUGCAACCUCCGCCUCCCAGCUUCAAAUGAUUCUCCUGCCUCAGCCUCCUGAGUAGCUAGGAUUACAGGUGCCUGCCACUACGCCCGGCUAAUUUUUGUAUUUUUUAGUAGAGACAGGGUUUUGCCAUGUUGGCCAGGCUGGUCUCAAACUCCUGACCUCAGAUGAUCUGCCCACCUCAGCCUACCGAAGUGCUGGGAUUACAGGCAUGAGCCACUGCACCCGGCCUAGAAAAUUUUUUAAUCUACCUAUAAUCUUGAAGGCUCUGUACCCCAUUCCCCAUUUUGAGUUGUCCCCCCUUUCUGGAUCUAACCAAUGUACAUCUUAAAUGUGUUGACUGAUGUCUCAUGCCUCCCUAAAAUGUAUAAAACCAAGCUGUGCCCCUACCACCUUGGGCACAUGUUCUCAGGGUCUCCUGAGGGCUGUAUCACAAGCUAUGGUCACCCAUAUUUGGCUCAGAA
rnacentral:lncRNA from 10 species